UACGAAGGGGGCUAGCGUUGCUCGGAAUCACUGGGCGUAAAGCGCACGUAGGCGGCUUUCUAAGUCAGGGGUGAAAUCCUGGAGCUCAACUCCAGAACUGCCUUUGAUACUGGAGAGCUUGAGUCCGGAAGAGGUGAGUGGAACUCCGAGUGUAGAGGUGAAAUUCGUAGAUAUUCGGAAGAACACCAGUGGCGAAGGCGGCUCACUGGACCGGAACUGACGCUGAGGCGCGAAAGCGUGGGGAGCAAACAGG
rnacentral:rRNA from 1 species